ACUGAGGUGGCAGAUAUAUGCAAUAGCUUUAAAGACUAUAAAAGGCCCAGCCCCUCAGUA
rnacentral:tRNA from 1 species